GCCCGGUUAGCUCAAUCGGUAGAGCGUGAGACUCUUACCAAACCGUAAUCUCAAGGUUGCGGGUUCGACCCCCGCAUCGGGCU
rnacentral:tRNA from 3 species